UACGUAGGGUGCAGGCGUUAAUCGGAAUUACUGGGCGUAAAGCGCACGUAGGCGGCCCUGUAAGUCCGUUGUGAAAGUCAAAGGCUCAACCUUUGAAUGCCGAUGGAUACUGCAGGGCUAGAGUCCGGAAGAGGCGAGUGGAAUUCCUGGUGUAGCGGUGGAAUGCGCAGAUAUCAGGAGGAACACCAAUAGCGAAGGCAGCUCGCUGGGACGGUACUGACGCUAAGGUGCGAAAGCGUGGGGAGCGAACAGG
rnacentral:rRNA from 1 species